rnacentral:ncRNA from 1 species
UUUCUCUCAAGAUAACUGGACUACGUAAUAAAGCUGUUAUAUUUGGUAAAGAGAAUGAUUAGAGGAGUUGUGGGACGAAACGUCUUCAGUCUAUUUGCAAACUUUCAAUGAGUGUGACAUCUUGGUUGUUUGAUUGAAGUGUAGACAUUGAAUAUGUACUCCAAGUGGGCCGUUUUUAGUAAGCAGAACUGGCGCUAUGAGUUGAACCA